CAGGUGCUGGGCUUCAACACGCGGCAGCGCAAGGCGUUCCUGAACGCGGUGAUGCGCUGGGGGAUGCCGCCCCAGGACGCCUUCACCUCGCAGUGGUUGGUGCGCGACCUGCGCGGCAAGAGCGAGAAGGAGUUCAAGUGGGUGCAGCGCGUGGCCACGCGUGUCAGCCCGUGUCCUCACGUGUCAGCCCGUGUCCUCACGUGUCAGCCCAUGUCCUCGUGUCAGCCCGUGACUUCCUGUGUCAGCCUGUGUCCUCCUGUGUCAGCCCGUGUCCUCACAUGUCAGCACAUGUCCUUGCGUGUCAGCCCGUGUCCUCAUGCCAUCCCGUGUCCUCGCAUGCCAUCCCAUGUCCUCGCGUGCCAUCCCAUGUCCUCACGUCAGCCCAUGUCCUCGUGUCAGCCCGUGACUUCCUGCGUCAGCCUGUGUCCUCCUGUGUCGUCUUGUGUCCUCGCGUGUCAUCCCAUGACCUCACGUGUCAUCCCGUGUCCUCGCGUGUCAUCCCGUGUCAUUGUGUGUCAGCCCGUGUCCUCGUGUCAGCCCAUGACUUCCUGUGUCAGCCUGCAUCCUUCUGUCUCAUCUUGGGUCCUCCUGUGUCAUCCCGUGUCCUCGCGUGUCAGCACAUGGCCUUGCAUGUCAUCCCCUGUCCUUGCUUGUCAUCCCAUGUCCUCACAUGUGAUCCCGUGCCCUCACAUGUCAGCACAUGUCCUUGCGUGUCAGCCCAUGUCCUCGUGUCAUCCUGUGUCCUUGCGUGUGAUCCCGUGUCCUCACAUGUCAGCCCAUGUCCUCGCGUGCCAGCCCGUGUCCUUGUGUCAACCCGUGACUUCCUGUGUCAGCCCGUGUCCUCGCGUGUCAGCCCAUGUCCUCGUGUGUCCCCAUGUCCUCGUGUGUCCCCAUGUCCUCGUGUGUCCCCAUGUCCCCAUGUGUGUCCCCAUGUCUUUGUGUCCCCAAGUCCUCUUCCUUGUCCCCCUGCCACCUUUCACGUCUCCCUGUCCCCACUUCUGUCCCCACCCGUGUCCCCAAGUCCCCCCCCAUCUCCCUCCACCCGCGUGUCCCCCUCUGUGUCCCCACUCAUGUCCCCCUGUCCCCACGUGUCCUGCAGUCCCCGCCUCUUGGUGUCCCCCUCUGACCCCCCCAUGUCCCCAUCUGUCCCAUCUUGUCCCCCCGUUGUCCCCGUGCCGCGUGAUGAGCCCUUACUCAGCCGAGCGCCGUCGCCGUCGGUUUUCCUGGGGAGCGGGCGAGGGCCGCGUCCCCCUCGCACCGACACACAGCCACCCCCGCGGGGACAGGGCCGUCCCCGUGUCCCCAAUGUCCCCGGGGGGGGCCGGCCGAGGCCCCCCGGGGUGGGGCCAGAGAUGUGGCAGCACCCGGGCGACGCCGGCACAGCCCUGGGCUGGGCGCUGUGACGAGGGGACAGCUGAUGGCGCGGGGACGUCGCUGGGGGCGUUGGGGGGAAUGGGGGCAAUGGGGGACAGCGUGGGUAACGGGGACAGCGGGGAUGGUGGGGACACUGGGGACAUUGGGGGUGAUGGGGACAUUGGGGACAUCGGGGAUGAUGGGGACAUUGGGGACAUUAGGGACAUCGGGGAUGAUGGGGACAUUGGGGAUGCUGGAGACAUUGGGGAACAUUGGGGGUGAUGGGGACAUUGGAGACAUUGGGGAUGAUGGGGACAUUGGGGGACAUUGGGGGUGAUGGGGACACUGGGGACAUUGGGGAUGAUGGGGAUGCUGGGGACAUCAGAGGUGCUGGGGACAUUGGGGACAUAGGGGACAUUGGGGACAUUGUGGGUGAUGGGGACAUUGUGGGGCAUUGGGAACACUGGGGAUGCUGGGGACAUUGGGGACAUUGUGCGUAAGGGGGACAUUGGAGACAGUGGGGACAGGGACAUGGGUUGAGGACACCAAGGACCAGAGGAACAGGGUGAAGAUGGGACACAGGGGACAUUGGGGACAGAAGGGACGAGGACUUUGGGGCCAGAAGGGACAAGGACACUGGGGACAAUAGGGACGGGGACAUUGGGGACCAGAGGGAUGGGGACAUUGGGGACAGAAGUGACGGGGACAUUGGGGACAGAAGUGACAGGGACAUUGGGGACAGAAGGGAUGGGGACAUUGGGGACCAGAGGGAUGGGGACACUGGGGACAGAAGGGACGGGGACAUUAGGGACCAGAGGAAUGGGGACAUUGGGGACAGAAGGGCCGGGGACAUUGGGGACCAGAGGGAUGGAGACAUUGGGGACCAGAGGGAUGGAGACAUUGGGGACAGAAGGGACGGGGACAUUGGGGACCGGAGAGAUGGGGACAUUGGGGACUGAAGGGACAGGGGCUUUGGGGACCAUAGGGAUGGGGACAUUGGGGACAGAAGGGACGGGGACAUUGGGGACCGGAGAGAUGGGGACAUUGGGGACCGAAGGGACAGGGGCUUUGGGGACCAGAGGAAUGGGGACAUUGGGCACAGAGGAGACGGGGACAUUGGGGACCGGAGGCACGGGGACACUGGGGACAGAAGGGACGAGGACAUUGGGCACAGAGGAGAUGGGGACAUUGGGGACCAGAGGGAUGGAGACAUUGGGGACAGAAGGGACGGGGACAUUGGGGACCAGAGGGACGGGGACAUUGGGGACAGAAGGGACG
rnacentral:lncRNA from 1 species